AUUGAACGCUGGCGGCAGGCCUAACACAUGCAAGUCGAGCGGAUGAAGGGAGCUUGCUCCUGGAUUCAGCGGCGGACGGGUGAGUAAUGCCUAGGAAUCUGCCUGGUAGUGGGGGAUAACGUCCGGAAACGGGCGCUAAUACCUCAUACGUCCUGAGGGAGGAAGUGGGGGAUCUUCGGACCUCACGCUAUCAGAUGAGCCUAGGUCGGAUUAGCUAGUUGGUGGGGUAAAGGCCUACCAAGGCGACGAUCCGUAACUGGUCUGAGAGGAUGAUCAGUCACACUGGAACUGAGACACGGUCCAGACUCCUACGGGAGGCAGCAGUGGGGAAUAUUGGACAAUGGGCGAAAGCCUGAUCCAGCCAUGCCGCGUGUGUGAAGAAGGUCUUCGGAUUGUAAAGCACUUUAAGUUGGGAGGAAGGGCAGUAAGUUAAUACCUUGCUGUUUUGACGUUACCAACAGAAUAAGCACCGGCUAACUUCGU
rnacentral:rRNA from 1 species